CCCCUUCUUAGCUGGCUUUGCUUGUUACCGAGCUGAUUCUCAGUACCGAAAAGACCCGCGCCACGCAUCCGUGUGUGCCGGGACGUUUCAUCCUGCACUGGACCCGAGUGAAUUCAACCGCUCCUGGGAUCCCAUGCUGUGUGCUCCCCACCCCUGGCAUGCCCGGGCCUGCACACGUCGCCAAGCCCUGUGGAAGAUUUCCAGGGGUGCGCUCACAUCCUCCUCCCCUUCUGUGCUAUCUGCUGCCUCAGGUGCCACUGCACCCCUUCCAAUACCCUCAACCCCAGCCCAAGGCCCACUGCCUCACAAAGUCACCUUCUUUUGGCAUCAGCAGUGCCCUCGAGCAUCCUUCCAUCUGGAGGUCACUGCGGCCUGGGCUCAACAUCCAGAGCUGUUCUGGAGAAGGGGUCUGCAGCUGUGAGGCUGGGCUUCUGGGUGACCCCUGGCCUGCAGAGGAGAAGCAGAAGAAUGAAGGUAGAGGCCUGAGGUGGGGAAGAGGGGCCAGGGGGCCACUCCACAGGCCUGGGAGCACCAGACGGGAGUGUUUCUUGUUUUAAGGAAAACAGGGGUUCUGAGAAAGGUUAGUGGACUCAGGGAGACAUUCAUGCUGCAAGAAGAAGGGAUCUCAAAGAGGCUGGGGGAGGAUGGGCCACCAGGCAGCAUCUGAGGCCUACAGCGACACUGGGCCAGCAACGCCCCUUACAGCCUGUCUCUCUUCUGUGGCUUCCACUUUGAAAAGCUUUGGUGGUGAGUCACAAUGCCCCUGGCAUGACCACACUAUGAAGCAGCCUUCCCCCUCCCCACCUACUCAUGCCCACUGCGCUGUCUGACCCCCGUGCCCCUCUACACAUGCACCCACCCCCAACUGCCACCUGCACCCUAAAGGCAAGGUGACCUAUCAGCAGGUAGGGUCUUUGGGGUAAGGAAGUCACAAGAGGUUGGUUUCCUGAUAAGAACCCUGAGGGGUCCUCUGUCCUCAUUCUACCCUACAGGGACACAGGGAGAAGUCACAUGUCCAGGAACAGGAGGUGGACACUCUCCAGACACUGGGUCUGCUGGGGCCUUCAUCCUGGGCUUCCCAGUCUCCAGACCAUGGGAAAUGAACAUGGGUGACUGCAGCCAGGGCGCUAAGCCACCCCCGCCACAUCUCCCACCAUGGCAGAAUGAAUGGGCACUUUGGGAUGGCAGCGAGGGCAUCUCUGAUGGGGAGAGACCGGUCUACAGUCUGGGCUGGGAUGUGCCCAGGGGUUUGAGCCACCACCCUACACUCUCAGCUGGCAGACAGCGGCUCCCAGUCCUGGUGUACGGAAGCAGCACAGGCACUGCUAGUUCCAGCCCCACAGGGGAGCCAGACUUGGGAGGACCUCGGGACCUCAGGCGGGUCACUGACAGUCUGGCUUUUCUUGUGAGUGAACGCGGAGGGCCCUGCCCACUCCCAGUGCCAUUCCUUUCACUCCUUUGCCUAUGCUUCCUUAGUCCUAGGCUUGGUGGGCCUCCACCUCGGCCCAGGCAGACAUAGGAGAACGAUCAAAUCACAUACCAUGAUUACUUGGCUGCUGCCUCUGUGAUCAGCACAGCCUGUAAAGCACUGGAAACCCACUAAGACCUCAAGAAGGACCACGGGGAAGCAGCAGGUCUUGUUUCCCUGAACAUAAAUCAAGUGUUUAAAUUUGGUAUUGCUGGCUGCUGGCUUAUCACCCCCUAUAAGGACAAUCACCUAACGCAUGGGAUCGGAGAACAACUGACACCAUUUGAGGCUGAAUCAAGCUUUGCCUGAAGGCAAACCGUUUUUAGAACUUCAAUGGUUGCCAACCCAGGGCCUGCAGGGAGGAGGGCCUUGGUCAAGGAAAGGACAAGAGGAAGUGCUUGAGAGAGCCAGAUCAAUAUUGACCAAGGUGCAGGUAUCUUGGGAACAGGAUGCCACAGAGACACUGCCCAGAGCCCAGAAGGCCCAAGUUAUGCGGAAGGCUGAGGUGAUGAGCUGGCAGAGUGGUGGCCCUGAGCAGAGGCUGAGUGCUGGCAUGAACAGUGUCUUGGGAGCAUGACAGCCCUCACCAUCCCCGUCUGUUGCUCCUCGAGCCACCUGUGCCUGAUGGGGCCCUCGCACUUGGUUCCAUGUGUCCUCGUGGUAACAGCACAGGGUGGGAGAGAAGGGACACCUCUUGGCUGGUGCCACUGCAUAUUGGGAUGUCCUAGGAAGCACUGGCCUAGCCACACCACCCAGGGCUCUUCAGGACUGGGCCAUGUACAGAAGGCUUUGUAGGGAGGGCCCAGGAUCUUGGUCAGGAGCAAGGUGCUGGCUGAGCCUCCCGUGGUGGCCACUGUCCUUUGCCCCGGUGGUCAGGGAGCUCAAAGGCACCAAGGGCCUGUUUCUAAGCUGUGCGUGCACUGGCUCAAGGGGGGAUGGCGCAGUUUAUUUAAGAUAAGCAUCACAAGGCACAUCCUGUGCCUGUCAUCCCCAACUGGACUCCAUGAGACAGCAUGACACUGGCUGCCAUGGGAAGAGCAAGUCAAAGUAAGCACCAUACACACACAGCGCCCAUGACAAACAGCACCCAGACACCUGGUUUCCAGGGCCAGGAGGCAGUGCCCACCUGCCCAGAGCGGCCAUACCCUUUACCAAGAGGUGGCGCUGGGCCCACCAUCCUCCCCAGUUUGCCUAACUGGGCAACAGGGGAGGCUCCUCAGUAGCAGGUCUGAAGACAGGCGCUGGUCUGACAACAGGGAAAGACAACAAAGCAAGUGAACCUCCUGAGACUUCAGUCAUUGAGGAUGCUGCAUGGACAGAGUGCUGAGCACCAGGCCAGAGGCCCAGGCAGAGGAAGUGGGCCCAGUCCUCACCCUGCUGGAAGACUCCAUUUGGUGGGCAUCUGGCUUCAAGUGCUUCAUAGUCCUUUCACAGUCCCAAAUCUGACAUUUGGCCCAUGCCCAAGACUACCAAAGUCAUUUAUCUCCAGCACUUCCUGCAUCUCCAGAGGGUGGUCUCCAAUACCUACUGGAGACUGUCAACUCACCUAGCCAGCCAAGAGGCCAUGCAGAAGGGGGAGGACUGAUGGGCUCAGAAAUCUAGCCAGCCCAAUUCCUGGAGACUUUUGAUGUGACUUUAUAUGAAAACAGAAUCUUAGCAGUGCAAUGAGGAGACUCCCUUGGAGGAUCUCGUGAGCCAAUACAAUCACAUGAGAGAGCCACCAAGCACGUGAUGACAAGAGAGCAACCCCAAGAAGCUAACACAGAGAGCUCACCUCACUCCAUGUGGGCAGAACUCGGCCAUCCCCACUGCCUACCUCUGCAAACAACUCAUCCUGGGAGCUACCAAAGCCCACAUCACCUGAAGGGGGACUGGCCUGGGUACGCUCUGGCCUUGACUGUUACUGCUUGGAAGGCUGGGGCAGGUCCUUGGGCCCUCAGAAAUGAAGGGGACAUGACGGCUUACUUUGCUGGGUAGUUGUGGGGAUCCAUUUGGGGAACUGGAAAACAUGGGAAGGAGGCCUGGGAGCACACUGCAGGCUCAUGGAAAGCCGAGAUCUACUCAAACCAUGUGAGCCAGAAAGGUGGAAGGAGGAUGGGAGUUCUAUUGUUUGGUUUUAUUCCUUUGGUUUUGUUUUCCACAGUGGAGAUUGAACACAGAGCCUCAGUCAUGUUAGGCUGGUGUUCUACCCCUCAGCCAUGCCCCAUGGAGCUUGUUUUAAAGGCAAAAAUGCCAGGGAAGGGGCACACGGAGGCUACAAGAAACUGUGCUAGGACAGGAAGAGUUGGCCCCUUUAUACUGUUGGUUCUCAUGCUACACAGGUCUUUCUACAUGGUGCAAGGCAGGCCCAAACUCAGCUCCCAACACCCACCCACUCUGGGCACGCAGGCCUGGGCACAGAAUGCCCCAGGGAAUAACAAGUGCUGACAGGGACACAGAGAAGGGAGACCCAUGCACUGCUGGUGGAGAUGCCAAAGAUGCAGCUGCUGUGGGGAGUCAGAGAGUGAGUCCUCAAAAAACCAGGAGCAGAGCUAUUGUAAGUAGCUGUGCCUCUGGACAUACGGUAGUUUUCUCUUAACUGAGGUUCUGCUUCCAGGGUUGCAGUUACCAGGAGCCAGAAAAUAUUAAAUGAAAAUUCCAGAGAAAAACCAUUCAGAACUGUUUAACUACAUGCCACACUGAGUGCCGUGAGGGCACUGGCACUGUCUAGGACCCAUCGUUACUCCUUUACCCAGUGCACUACCUGCCCACUACUCACUUAGGGGCAGUGUGGGUAUCAGAUCCACUGUCAUGGGGUCACAGUAACCCUUGUUUUACUUAUAACAGUCCCAAAGUGCAAGACCAAAAAUGCUGACCAUUUGGAUAUGCCAAAGAGAAGCUGAAAAGUGAGCUUCCUUGUAAGGAAAAAAAUAGAAGUUCUUGACCUGGUAAAGAAAGAAAAAAAACAUCGUGUUCUGAAGUUACUAAGAUCUGCGGUGAGAACAAAUCUCUCAGUGAACUUGUAAAGAAGGAAAAAGAAAUUUAUGUCAGUUUUGUUGACAUACCUCAAACUCUAAAUUUAUGGCUACAAUGUCUGAUAGGUGCUUAGUUGAGAAGGAGAAGACAUUAAAUUAUGGGGUUUAUACUGUGAAUGUCACUUGAUCAGGCCUUCAGUGGGCGAAUUCAUGUUCCUUGAUUAGGGGCGGUGUAUACCCAAAAUGUUGGAAAAAAGAUCUUAAAGCAAUAUUUGAACACCCAUUUUCACAUCAACAUUAUCCACAGUGGCUAAAAAAAUGGGUGCAACUUUGAGUGAAGCAAAAUGUGACAUGUAUUAAGCCUUUAAAAGGAAGAAAAAGCUAGGUAAGACCAAAAAAAAAAAAAAAAAAAAAAAGCUAGGUG